rnacentral:lncRNA from 10 species
GACCCACGGGCACCGAGAGUCCUGCUCUUCCCACCCCUUCUGCAUGUCUCCACCCAGGCGCUCAAGAGCAUGCUGCGACAGGCCACUGCCUCCGCAUGACUUGCAUUAAAAACAUGUGUCUGGGUCCCAGCUCGUGAAGUUGGCUGGAGGUGCUUCUGAGUUGGUCGCUCUGGAACCACAUGCUGGCUCUGGGACCCUCUCUCAGGGCCCCUCUGGAUGCCAGAGCAGGCUGUAUAUUGCACAGCGGGAGUUGAGAGUGGCACCUUCCGGAGCUGUGCUAUGGGGUGGUCCCCCUCCCUAAAAUGGGAAUUAUAAUAAUACCUACAGCUGACCAGAUAAAGAGAUGAGGAGAAUGUGAGGCUCAGAGUUUGGCUACCAGAUAACUCGCUUUGGAAGAGCAAGCUACCACGUUGCGUGGACACUCAAGCAGCCCCAUGGAGAAGCCUAUGUGGUGAGGAACUGGGGCCUCCUGCCAACAGCCAGCAAAGACCUGAGAGCUCCUGCCACGUAAGUGCACCCUCCUAGGAGCAGACCCUCCAGCCCCAGGCGAGCCUUCAGAUGAUCACAGGUUGCAGACGUCUUGACUGUAACCUCCUGAUAAACCCUGAACUA